rnacentral:rRNA from 1 species
GAUGAACGCUAGCUACAGGCUUAACACAUGCAAGUCGAGGGACCGGCACAGGUGAGAAUAACACGGAUAAAUCCUGGCCGUUACUCGGGGAUAGCCGUUAGAAAGAAAGAUUAAUACAUGAUGUGAAGGUUGGGGAUGCGUUUGAUUAGGUUGUUGGUGAGGUACCGGCUCACCAAGCCUUCGAUGGAUAGGGUUUCUGAGAGGAAGGUCCACCAAAUUGGAACCGAGACCCGGUCCAAACUCCUACGGGAGGCAGGAGUGAGGAAGAUUGGUCAAGGGACGUUAGCCUGAACCAGCCAAGUAGAGGGAAGGAUGAAGGCUUAUGGGUCUUAAACUUGUUAGAUAUAAGAAUAGGUAUUAUAUGAAGAAGGAUCGGCUAACUCCGUGCCAGCAGCCGCGGUAAUAC